rnacentral:rRNA from 1 species
GUCGAACGAUGAAGCCCUUCGGGGUGGAUUAGUGGCGAACGGGUGAGUAACACGUGGGCAAUCUGCCCUUCACUCUGGGACAAGCCCUGGAAACGGGGUCUAAUACCGGAUAACACUGCGGACUGCAUGGUCUGCGGUUAAAAGCUCCGGCGGUGAAGGAUGAGCCCGCGGCCUAUCAGCUUGUUGGUGGGGUAAUGGCCUACCAAGGCGACGACGGGUAGCCGGCCUGAGAGGGCGACCGGCCACACUGGGACUGAGACACGGCCCAGACUCCUACGGGAGGCAGCAGUGGGGAAUAUUGCACAAUGGGCGAAAGCCUGAUGCAGCGACGCCGCGUGAGGGAUGACGGCCUUCGGGUUGUAAACCUCUUUCAGCAGGGAAGAAGCGAAAGUGACGGUACCUGCAGAAGAAGCGCCGGCUAACUACGUGCCAGCAGCCGCGGUAAUACGUAGGGCGCAAGCGUUGUCCGGAAUUAUUGGGCGUAAAGAGCUCGUAGGCGGCUUGUUGCGUCGAUUGUGAAAGCCCGGGGCUUAACCCCGGGUCUGCAGUCGAUACGGGCAGGCUAGAGUGUGGUAGGGGAGAUCGGAAUUCCUGGUGUAGCGGUGAAAUGCGCAGAUAUCAGGAGGAACACCGGUGGCGAAGGCGGAUCUCUGGGCCAUUACUGACGCUGAGGAGCGAAAGCGUGGGGAGCGAACAGGAUUAGAUACCCUGGUAGUCCACGCCGUAAACGUUGGGAACUAGGUGUUGGCGACAUUCCACGUCGUCGGUGCCGCAGCUAACGCAUUAAGUUCCCCGCCUGGGGAGUACGGCCGCAAGGCUAAAACUCAAAG